UACAGAGGGGGCAAGCGUUGUUCGGAAUUACUGGGCGUAAAGGGCUCGUAGGCGGCCAACUAAGUCCGACGUGAAAUCCCCAGGCUUAACCUGGGAACUGCGUCGGAUACUGGAUGGCUUGAAUCCGGGAGAGGGAUGCGGAAUUCCAGGUGUAGCGGUGAAAUGCGUAGAUAUCUGGAGGAACACCGGUGGCGAAGGCGGCAUCCUGGACCGGCAUUGACGCUGAGGAGCGAAAGCCAGGGGAGCAAACGGG
rnacentral:rRNA from 1 species